UGUCUUGAAGUGUAUUGAUUAUAAUAUGUAUUCAAGUUGGUCCAUAUUUUACUCCAGUAGAUGGGUAAAUCAAAUAUAUUAGAAUUCUAUAUGAAAGUAUGAUUUUUUUUUACAACGUGUGUUUUCUACUUUCUCACUGAGGAAUUUGCAUGCAUUGAAAUGAUUUUAAUUUUGAUGAAUUAGUUUUGUCAACGGCUAAUGUAGUUGGUUGUUUUUGAGGCCGAAAGCCUGCUGGAGAGUGAGGUUAACAAAGGGUGAAGGUGAUGAUCACUAGAGCUUUUAGGGCUGGCUGAGACCCGGCUGCUGAGGUUGUGUAACUGUGCCUAGAGGGCGGGGUUCCUGUACGUUCCUACUUCAGCAGACAACCUGCCCCCAGCACCGCUCCAAUUUCUGCCAGACAGAUGGAAAGCUCCAAAGGAAAAAUCUGCGCAGCCCUUCCAAGAAGCAGGGUUCUGCUUGAUGUUGUCGGAAGGCUGUGGAGGCGAAGGACUCGAGAACCGUGAACACUCUCACCCAGCGAUCGAGCUUGGUACAAGGAAGGCUGGCGUGAUCAUCCACUUCACAUCAGAGGAUGCCUAACCGCCAGUGUGCUGACACCAAGCAGAAAUUUCCACGUUUAAAGCAGCACUCCCUGCACUCAUCAUAUGUCCCUGGAGAAGAUUGCUUCAUCGUUUUUCAGACCAAAAAAAAAAAAAAAAAAAAAAGAAAAAAAAAAAGAAAAAUUGAUCCCUUUCAGUAUCCUCCAGUUUCAGAAAGACUAGAUAAAACUUUAUGUGCAUUCAGAUCUUUUCCAUGCCUGAAU